UACGUAGGGGGCAAGCGUUGUCCGGAAUUAUUGGGCGUAAAGCGCGCGCAGGCGGCUUCUUAAGUCUGAUGUGAAAGCCCACGGCUCAACCGUGGAGGGUCAUUGGAAACUAGGAAGCUUGAGUGCAGAAGAGGAGAGUGGAAUUCCACGUGUAGCGGUGAAAUGCGUAGAUAUGUGGAGGAACACCAGUGGCGAAAGCGGCUCUCUGGUCUGUAACUGACGCUGAGGCGCGAAAGCGUGGGGAGCAAACAGG
rnacentral:rRNA from 1 species